rnacentral:rRNA from 1 species
UUUGCGGUACUUCUGACCGUGCAAAGGUAGCAUAAUCAUUUGCCUUAUAAUUGAAGGCUUGUAUGAAUGGUUUGACAAGAAUAGAUCUGUCUCUUUACAAUUAACUAAAAUUUUAUUUAUGGGUGAAGAAGCCUGUAUUAAAUUGAAAGACAAGAAGACCCUAUCGAGCUUUAAAACAAUUAAUAAACCUAAAAUCAUAUACAUACUGAAUUAGUUAUUAAAAAUUUUAGUUGGGGCGACUAAGGAACAAACAAAGCUUCCUUGAAAUUUUAAUACCUACAAGUUGUGAUCCAAAUGCUUUGAUUAAAGAAAUUAGUUACCGUAGGGAUAACAGCAUUAUCUUUUUUAAGAGCUCAAAUCGAAAAAAAGGUUUGUGACCUCGAUGUUGGACCAGAAUGUCCUAAAGAUGUAGCCGUCUUUAAGGGUUGGUCUGUUCGACCAUUAAAAGUCUACGUGA